GUGGGGAAUCUUAGACAAUGGGGGAAACCCUGAUCUAGCCAUGCCGCGUGAGCGAUGAAAGCCUUAGGGUUGUAAAGCUCUUUCAGCUGGGAAGAUAAUGACGGUACCAGCAGAAGAAGCCCCGGCUAACUCCGUGCCAGCAGCCGCGGUAAUACGGAGGGGGCUAGCGUUGUUCGGAAUUACUGGGCGUAAAGCGCGCGUAGGCGGACCAGAAAGUUGGAGGUGAAAUCCCAGGGCUCAACCUUGGAACUGCCUUCAAAACUCCUGGUCUGGAGUUCGAGAGAGGUGAGUGGAAUUCCGAGUGUAGAGGUGAAAUUCGUAGAUAUUCGGAGGAACACCAGUGGCGAAGGCGGCUCACUGGCUCGAUACUGACGCUGAGGUGCGAAAGCGUGGGGAGCAAACAGGAUUAGAUACCCUAGUAGUCC
rnacentral:rRNA from 1 species